rnacentral:tRNA from 1 species
GCCGGUAUCGCUCAGCGGCUAGAGCACUGGGUUUAUACCCCUUGGUCCAGAUAAGACAGAGGCGCGGGUUCGAGUCCUGCUACCGGCA